rnacentral:rRNA from 1 species
CACGUAGGGUGCGAGCGUUGUCCGGAAUUAUUGGGCGUAAAGAGCUCGUAGGCGGUGUGUCGCGUCGGCCGUGAAAACCUGCAGCUCAACUGUGGGCUUGCGGUCGAUACGGGCAUCACUGGAGUUCGGCAGGGGAGACUGGAAUUCCUGGUGUAGCGGUGAAAUGCGCAGAUAUCAGGAGGAACACCGGUGGCGAAGGCGGGUCUCUGGGCCGUAACUGACGCUGAGGAGCGAAAGCAUGGGGGAGCGAACAGG